UCAGCGACAGUGCCCCCAGAGGCCAUUGAGGCCGCAGGAUUUUUUAUCUCCCCUACAGCUGAGGGCCACGCAGUGGGGGCAGUCACGGAGGAUGAAGAGCCAACAAAAUUAGCAACCCAGCCGAAAUCUGCCUUGGUUGCAGUCACGUGCGCCACCUGGAAGAGAUGUUCAGUCGGCUCCAUCAGCAUGGAUUGAAGUUACAGCUGAAAAAGUGCCGCCUGUUCCAAUGAGAGGUCACUUAGCUGGGACAUGUCAUCAGUGAGAGGGGAGUGGGUACUGACCCAGCAAAGACAACUGCAGUGCGAGACUGGCCAGUGCCCCAGACGGUAAAGCAGAUGUCUAGACCUCUUAACCUCCCACCCAGAUACAAAAUCCUGCAGGAUACACCAGGUGUGAAACACAACCUAGGGGGUCGGAGCCAAUACUUGCAG